rnacentral:rRNA from 1 species
GACGAACGCUGGCGGCGUGCUUAACACAUGCAAGUCGAACGGCAAGGCCCUGCUUUUGUGGGGUGCCCGAGUGGCGAACGGGUGAGUAACAGGUGAGUAACCUGCUCUUGACUUUGGGAUAAGUUCAGGAAACUGGGGUUAAUACCAGAUAGGAGCCCCUCUUGCAUGGAGGGGGUUGGAAAGUUUCGGCGGUCGGGGAUGGACUCGCGGCUUAUCGCUUUGCUGGUUGGGUAGUUGCUUACCCAGGCUUUGACGGAUAGCCGGCCUGGGAGGGUGACCGGCGACAUUGCGACUAAGGUACGGCGCAGAGUCGUACAGUGGGCAGAAGUGGGGAGUAUGGCACAGUGAGCGCAAGCCUGUGGAAGCAGCGCCGCGGUCGGGAAGACGGCCUUUUGGUUGAGAACCGCUUUCGCCUGUGACGAAGCGGGAGUGACGGUAAUGGAUGAAGAAGCACCGGCUAACUACGUG